AGCUUCCUAACACAAACACAUUUCCUGAGUGACAUGUAGGCUUCGGUUUAUCAUUUCACUGUGGUUUCACCAUUUCAUCACGUUAAGAACCUUAUUUAGACAACACUCCAGAGAUGAGCUCUUCUCCAGGCUUCGUGACUGUGGUACUCUUAAUGCUUGGACAAAGCCAUGGUGACUCAGUGACUCAGAUGGAAGGCCAAAUGAUCCUCUCAGAAGGGGCUUCCCUAAAUAUGACCUGCACUUAUUCAGCCAGAGGCUACCCUGCUCUUUUCUGGUAUCUUCAAUAUCCUGGAGAAGGUCCACAGCUCCUCCUGAGCGCCAAGAAGGACAACGAGAUGGCACGCAACAAAGGUUUUGAAGCCACGUACAAUAAAGAAGCUACCUCCUUCCACUUGGUGAAAGCCUCAGUCCUGGAGUCAGACUCGGCUAUGUACUACUGUGCUCUGAGGGACACAGUGACAGGAACUGCAGGGGGAGCUGAGCGCAAACUCUGAGCAGCAACAAAGGGGCCUGGUUGCUGAGUGUCUCUGACCAUUUGAUCCACUCCGUUUUCAUCAGAGUCUGUGGUUGUUUGUCCCGCAG